GUAUUACUCACGAGCUAUAUUAGCAGAUCCUAAAGAUGGUGAAGUUCUAUCACAGUAUGCGAAGUUAAUAUGGGAGUUGCAUCAUGAUCAAGAAAGAGCUUCAACCUACUUUGAAGGGGCAGUUCAAGCUUCUCCUGAAGAUAGCCAUGUACAUGCAGCCUAUGCAAGAUUCCUAUGGGAAACAGAGGAAGACGAUGACGAGUGUAACGCGCCAAGAGAUUUUGAUGCCAUGCCCCACAUUUCCAUCAAGNUAAUGACUUCUACUGGUUCUUGAUGGCAAGAGUGAGCGGCAGCACACAGACAUUGUCAGGAG
rnacentral:misc_RNA from 1 species